UUAGGAAUAUUCCACAAUGGGGGCAACCCUGAUGGAGCAACGCCGCGUGGAGGAUGAAGGCCUUCGGGUUGUAAACUUCUUUUCUAUGCGAAGAAUAUGACGGUAACAUAGGAAUAAGGGUCUGCUAACUACGUGCCAGCAGCCGCGGUCAUACGUAGGACCCAAGCGUUAUCCGGAUUGACUGGGCGUAAAGAGUUGCGUAGGUGGUGGUCUAAGCGAAUAGUGAAAUCUUGUGGCUCAACCAUAAGGCUAUUAUUCGAACUGGGCUACUCGAGAGUGGAAGAGGUAUCUGGAAUUCCCAGUGUAGGAGUGAAAUCCGUAGAUAUUGGGAGGAACACCAAUGGCGUAGGCAGGAUACUGGUCCAUUUCUGACACUAAGGCACGAAAGCGUGGGGAGCGA
rnacentral:rRNA from 1 species